rnacentral:tRNA from 1 species
GGUAGCUCAGUGGUAGAGUGCUUGCCUUGCAUGCAUGAGGCGCUGGGUUCAAUUCCUCAGCACCA